GACGCUGCCCCAGUGCCGGAACGUCAAAGAAGUUGUUGACCUGAUAAACCGGGAGCCAGAGUCAGCGAAUGGCGGCUGUAACUAUAACAGUCCUAAGGUAGCAAAAUUCUUUGUCAGGUAAGUUCUGACCUCUACAAAAAGCA
rfam:Citrus clementina cultivar Clemenules unplaced genomic scaffold scaffold_3, whole genome shotgun sequence.